rnacentral:rRNA from 1 species
UGGGGAAUAUUGGACAAUGGGCGAAAGCCUGAUCCAGCAAUGCCGCGUGUGUGAAGAAGGCCUGCGGGUUGUAAAGCACUUUCAGUGGGGAAGAAAAGCCGCGGGUUACUACCCCUCGGUGUUGACGUUACCCACAGACGCAGCACCGGCUAACUCCGUGCCAGCAGCCGCGGUAAUACGGAGGGGGCAGGCGUUCGUCGGCAUUACUGGGCGUAAAGCGCACGUAGGUGGUGAGGUCAGUCAGAUGUG